AAGAACAAGUAUCGUCUGAGAAUUAUGAUGAUGUAAUCACUGCUGGACUGGGACAUGUUGGUGCAGAGAGUGAUGAGGAUUAUGGUGAUCCGGAUAAAAGGGAGUAUGUGAGUGACAUGUUUGCUUAUGAUGAUGUGGGGGAAGAACCAGAAAAACAGGAAGCAAAUGUAUAACUCAGCCGCACAGAGUGUUUCAUUUGUUUUAAACCAAGUUUUCUGCAGAUUCAAGAAGAUACUAUACAAAAUGUUCUGCUGUUGUUGCUG